rnacentral:ncRNA from 1 species
AGGAGUGGGAUGGGGUGGCGUUCGACGCGGCGAUCGAGCAGGCCCACCCAAGCGAUAAAGACUAAUCGAACUGUCUAGUAGCUGGUUCCCUCCGAAGUUUCCCUCAGGAUAGCUGGAACUUACGGCAGUUUUAUCAGGUAAAGCGAAUGAUUAGAGGUCUUAGGGUUAAAACAACCUUAACCUAUUCUCAAACUUUAAAUUGGUAAGAAGUCCGACUUGCUUAAUUGAAGCCGGACAGUGAAUGCGAGUUCCUAGUGGGCCAUUUUUGGUAAGCAGAACUGGCGAUGCGGGAG